AGUGAACGCUGGCGGUAGGCCUAACACAUGCAAGUCGAACGGCAGCACAGAGGAGCUUGCUCCUUGGGUGGCGAGUGGCGGACGGGUGAGGAAUACAUCGGAAUCUACUUUUUCGUGGGGGAUAACGUAGGGAAACUUACGCUAAUACCGCAUACGACCUACGGGUGAAAGCAGGGGACCUUCGGGCCUUGCGCGAUUGAAUGAGCCGAUGUCGGAUUAGCUAGUUGGCGGGGUAAAGGCCCACCAAGGCGACGAUCCGUAGCUGGUCUGAGAGGAUGACCAGCCACACUGGAACUGAGACACGGUCCAGACUCCUACGGGAGGCAGCAGUGGGGAAUAUUGGACAAUGGGCGCAAGCCUGAUCCAGCCAUACCGCGUGGGUGAAGAAGGCCUUCGGGUUGUAAAGCCCUUUUGUUGGGAAAGAAAUCCAGCUGGCUAAUACCCGGUUGGGAUGACGGUACCCAAAGAAUAAGCACCGGCUAACUUCGUGCCAGCCGCCGCGGUAA
rnacentral:rRNA from 1 species